rnacentral:lncRNA from 1 species
UUCUUAACAACAUUGGCCAUCUUGCGGAACUCCUUGUGCAUGCGAGUGGAGAACGCAAAGGCUUGGUCUGCUGCGUCUUCAUCUUUGUUGUCAAGAGGACCACGGUCAUCUCCUUUUCAGCAGCUAACUGCACCACGUCUUCUUGUUUGACAGGUGAAAGACCAGUAGGAGUGGACAUUAUACAGGUAGUUGGUCCCCAUGCUGAACUGAACCGUGGCACUGCUAUUGCGAAUUACUACAUCAGGUCAGAGUGCAAUACAUGUUAGAUAGUUAUGGUUUAUGAUAACCUUUGCAGGUAAGCUUAACAAGAUAUAUUAAGGAACUGAAAAUCAAAGGUAGCACGUGCAUAAAAGUUUCAGGCGGUAGUUCCAUUUUCAGUGAACUAAACAAAUAAAGUAGAAAAGGACAAGCUAAUAAUGCCAUGUGUGCACAACCAGCAUCUGAAAGACCAAUGUAGUACAUGAGGGCAUCAUCUCAGUUCAUAGAUAAUCGGUGAACAAGGGCAUCAUUUUUUCAGUUUAGAAACAAUAUAAAUUGGCAAUGGAUGUCAAUCUGCAAGUACAUAAGAGAGGUGAAACUAUCUUACAUAGUUGUGCAUGUUUAACAUGAGCUUAGUUUGUGAAGCAUUUGUCAAACAUCCAAGAAAAGAAUACGAAAAUAGAUCGAAGGACAUGUACGACGGAGGCUGCGGUGAAAUUUCCCAGAGAUGAACGUGACUUUCGAUGCACAAUAGACCGUUUCAAGGACCUGAAUAUGUACAAAACCCACAAUACGUUAUUAUGGAUAAUUAUACGACAUGCCUUCAAAGAAUUAAAAUGUGCUUACUAACAGAAAUACAUUGAAAUAGGAUGCAGAUCAGGAAAACGUACCAGUCACUUUGACCCAACUCGAUGUAGCUUUGUUCACUGGAUCUUCUCCCCGACAACUUCAUUGUAGUUUCUGCACAAUAACACAUUUUCUGAAGAAAUAUAUUCUGCACACAACCAACGGUUUCUCUGAAGAAAUGUAUUCUGCACAACAGAUUAAAGUUUCUGCAUGAUAACUAAAAAAAGAUGGACAUUAACAAACAUGCAAGCGGGCUGAAAGGAGAAACCAUGUAAUCCAAGUCUGCUCCCUAACCACAGAUCUAUCAACAUAUUACACAACACACAGAAGUGUGUUCUUGUGUUUUCUUACAAAUAAGAUGUUGUGUAGCCAAAUCAUAUAGACUGAACCAAC